UAUGGAGAGACUGUAAGACCAACAGAUCCUCUGUUGUUUUUAAUGUGGUUAUAUUAAGGCAAUAACAUACGGCGAGCUAGGCUUCGGGCAAACUAUAGAAUCCCGGCCCAGUUCUACCGUAUGCUAUAGUUUAAUUAAUGGACGUAUGUUUGCUUGGCGAUUAGAUAUACAGAUUUUGAUUACAGUCCAACCCCAACAUCCGGUCACCCCUCAUCGCCGGUUGCCUCGUACAUAAAAUGAUUGAAGUCUGAGUAUGUCGCAUUUGUCUUUAAAGCUCCAUUAUUAUCUUUAUUUUCAAGCUAAAAGCUCAAGUUGUUGAUAUAUGAAAAUCGUCUUUGCAUUUACGUUGAUGCGGUAACUAUAAAAACGUCGCGUCAAAAGUCUUAUUGAAUUAGGUGAUAUAAGCACUCUACGCAGCGCAUUAAGAUGAAUAGUGGGACACUUGUAGUAAUUGUCACAGUAUUGCUAACGGUGCGUGGCCCGUGUGCUGUGCAUUCUGGUUACAAUGAGGCAUAUUUUAAACGGGAACUGGGAGGACAAUCUGGUCAAUUUACGUACGCGAAUACUGACCCAAAGGAUCGCACCGAAUCAGUGUCGUACCGUGCAGACAAAUCAGGAAGAGGGUCACCCUUGUUGAGGUGUGCCAAGGAUUGCUUGCGUGACCCGGAUUGUAGAAAGUUUUCGACUGUAAAAUCUUCACUCCCAGGGAAGUAACAGAAUCUUGGCAACAGACGAACAGAACGAAGGCCAAUCGUUUCAGUACGGCAUGAAGCAACAAGAUGGGAAAACACUUUAUGGAAGCUAACUAUCUCAUUUAAUACAAUUGUAUUGUCAAUUACUUGUUUUAAAAUGCGACGUCUGUGAAAAAAUGCAUGAAACGGCAAAGAAAUAAAAUAUGUAUAAAACU